rnacentral:rRNA from 1 species
AGAACGAACGCUGGCGGCAGGCCUAACACAUGCAAGUCGAACGCUCGUAGCAAUACGGGAGUGGCGCACGGGUGAGUAACGCGUGGGCACCUGCCCGGUGGUUUGGGAUAACCGUGGGAAACUGCGGCUAAUACCGGAUACGCCCCUAGGGGGAAAGAUUUAUCGCCAUCGGAUGGGCCCGCGUAGGAUUAGCUAGUUGGUGAGGUAACGGCUCACCAAGGCUACGAUCCUUAGCUGGUCUGAGAGGAUGAUCAGCCACACUGGGACUGAGACACGGCCCAGACUCCUACGGGAGGCAGCAGUGGGGAAUAUUGGACAAGUGGGGGGCAACCCGUGAUCCAGCCAUGCCGCGUGAGUGAAGAGGCCGUUCGGGUUGUAAAGCUCGUUUGGCGGGACGAUGAUGACGGUACCGCAGAAUAACGCCCGCUAACUUCGUGCCGAGCAGCCGC